GGAAGCUUGUUUCUGUUCUGUGUCGUUCAGAAAAUUUGAAUUUUGUAGCACGUGGAUAGUUUUAAUUUCAAAGAAGCAUGCCCUAAAACUUAACCUGGAAUUGACAUUAUUCAUAUUGUAUUUCAUCAUUCGAAUAUAAAAAUGAAUUUGGGAAUAAAACGUAAUAAUGUAAAUUUAAAGAAAUUGAUAAAAGGAGACUCUGAGAUUGGUAAAAGGUUGCAGUCAGUGAGAUUACCUCCUGACCUUAGUCUUGGAGGACCAAAAUUGCCAAAAAGACAGUUUGCACCAAACCUGAACGCCACCAGAAAUAAAGAUAAACCUAAGGAGAUCUUGAAGAAAAAUGAGCACAAACACAAAGAAAGAAACAAUGAUAGGAAACCAAUUAAAUUCAAAGAGCAGAAUAUUAUUCAGUCGUCUGGAAUAUUUUCGGAGGGAGCUGGAGGUGAUAUUAUUCGAACUAGUCGAUGGACCCGAGGUGAUAAUGAUGGGAGUAGUGGCCUACCUUCUAUGACCAUGCCAACUUUCAAAAAACACUCCUAUCAGAUAGACAAAAGAACAGAAGACAAUGUAUUAGAUGACAUCAUAGGUUGCGAUGAAGAUAGUAAAGAUGAAAAACUUCCUUUCCAUCCAGUUCCAUGGCAAACUAAACAAAUUAUGCCAGUUAAACAAGAAAUAAAAAAGGAGGAACAUUUUGACUUCUCAAAUGUAAUGCAGGAUUUCAAUAGUGUAAAAUUGGAAUGUAGCGAUUAUCAGAUGGAUGACCACAAAGAAUAUUUAGGAGCAAAUAGUGCCAGUAAUGACAAUCCUUCAAUGGCCCUAUGGAGGUUGCCAGAUUCAUUUUCUGGAAAAGGUCUUAGUGAUGAUCCAAAUUGUAAAACGUUGUUUGAUUAUGGUCUAAAUGAUAUGAUAGAAGGUAAAAUAGGAAAACUUCUGAUAAGGAAAUCUGGGAAAGUGGAAGUGCAAAUCGGAAGAAUUAAAUACCAUCUGGAACCUAGUGAUGUUGACAUUUACAGAGAGAUGGCUAUUCAAGGACUUGAAGUAUUUCCCUUAAGAAAGUUUAUCUGUUACAUUUUAGUAGAAAAGCAUCAUUCUGAAUUUUUUGACAUGCAGCUGAACAAGUUUCCUUAAAACAACUAACCAAGAAGGACAGUAAUCGAAAUGGGGCCUAAUUAAGGCAACUUCCAUUAUGCACAGACAUUAUGCACAGGCAGGCCAAAGGAAGUCGUUUCUGUAGAGGCUGACAGCAAAAACCAAAUGGUAGCAGCCGUUUUAGGACAGAUCCAAAAUAGAUACUCUCUCUAUCCUG